rnacentral:rRNA from 1 species
AGAGGGGAGCAAGCGUUGUUCGGAAUUACUGGGCGUAAAGGGCGCGUAGGCGGUCCAUCAAGUCUUGUGUGAAAUCCCCUGGCUCAACUAGGGAACUGCAUGGGAAACUGGUGGACUUGAGUUCGGGAGAGGGAAGCGGAAUUCCGGGUGUAGCGGUGAAAUGCGUAGAUAUCCGGAGGAACACCGGUGGCGAAGGCGGCUUCCUGGACCGACACUGACGCUGAGGCGCGAAAGCUAGGGUAGCAAACGGGAUUAGAUACCCCGGUAGUCCUAGCUGUAAACGAUGAGUGCUGGGUGUUAGGGGUAUCCACCCCCCUAGUGUCGAAGCUAACGCAUUAAGCACUCCGCCUGGGGAGUACGGUCGCAAAGGCUG